AUUGUUUCGAACGACAGCUUUUUUCAGUAAGAGCUGGCGGAUCGGUAUUGAGGGUCUUUGCCAUUUACCGUGGCUCCCUCGAAAUGCAUUAGCGCAUCCAUUUGAUAGGCGAAAGACGGACGAAAGCUCGAUUUUCGCCCUCUCUUCCCUGCCGGGUUUUGAUAAUAUCAGGACUUCGGAGGAGGAAUGAGGUGGGUGUGAGCUGGACGCAACGACUUUUGCUGGUUGGAGUGCUUCUGAACCCCGCCCUUUCUGUCAGAGAAAGGGAUUUAUUUCAAUU
rnacentral:misc_RNA from 1 species